AGGACUUAAUGUGCUAUUUCAGUCUAAAGUUCCAAGUCUUUUUAAAAUUCAAGAUUACUGAAGUUCCUUAAAACUAUACUUGGGGGGCCCUUGACUACUCUUUUAUGUUGGAGCAGAGGGAACACUUUUCCAGUUUUAUGGAGGGUUUGUUCAAGAAGCAAAUUGUAGAGCAAAGAGUAUUUUCUGUAAACAUGAGGGCUCUCGAGUGAUCCUACUUAAUCAGCUUCCACACGACGACUUCUCUCCUUUGGGUCAAAUUUGCCUCAGAGAUGAGUCUUAAACACCAUCUAACGUUCAAGUGGUUUAUUCUGGCAGCAUUCUUAGAAGACAAACAGCAGGAGCAGGCUGGUGGCAGCAGCCAGAUUCAGUCAGCAUCAGUGGAAUUAAGAACUUAAAAAUACUAGCAAAGAAAGUU